UAUGGAUUUGGUUUUGGUUCUGUGUCUUGGUUUUAGCUAUAGAAAACACAUGGUACUUUACGGGUUCCGGUGAGUAGAAUGUCAGAAUUAAGUUAGAUUUUAAUAUUCUGUCUUGGUUCUGAUUUUUAGGCAUAAUUGUUUUUGUAUGACGCCUAUUUUUGUUCACUAUGUACACCAGUGUUGGAGGUUGGAUAAUAAAUUUUGGUUUGAUCCAGUAAGUUGCUAUUUAGGCCUGGUAAAGUUUGUGCCAGCAACUGCGGUUAGACAAACAGGUCAAGUUAAGAUUUUUGCAGCAUAAAGUAGGGUUAGGGGUACAAAUAGUUGUUUGGGGAUUUAAAGUGAUUUAAGGGGUGCAAUCCUAAGAAUUGCAGAUUUAUCUAGUAUUUCCUUGUUGCCUGAUGCCCUGAAACUCCAGCGGAAAACCGGGAUUUGGUAUCCCGUUAUUUGGAGUGUAAACUUUGGUUUGUAAUCUGCUGGGGUACUACGAGCGCUAUAAUUUGGCUGGGCUUAAAACUCAAAAAACUUGGCGGUGUUUCAUAUCCUCCCAGGGGAACCUGUCUCGUAAACGAUGAUCCACGUUUUAUCUUACCUUAUCUUGAAGCGCCUAGGAGAUAGUGGGUGAGUCAGCUUGUAUACCGUCGCCGAUAGAUCACCCUUGAGGGGCGUAAAGUGGUCGGGAAGAGAGGGGAGAGUAUAGACUGAUAAGUCGUGUUUUAAUAGCGAUUGAUGGUUGUGCUCAUUGCGUUGUGUUGUCUGAAAGGGCUACGUGGACGUUUGGCUUCUCAGGAUGUCAGAUCAAGGUGCAGCUUAUGGUAAGGUGAUGAUGGGUUACAAUAAUUAAUUUGUUAUACGGAUUUUUUACUGUAAUGUAAAAUUUAAGGCGGACUUGGAUGUAAUAUUAAAUUAGAAAGUUAUAGUGAACUAGGUUUUGAGAUGUGUACAAAUCGCCCGUCGCUCUCGUUGAAAAAUGAGAUAAGUCGUAACAUAGUAGGGGUACCGGAAGGUGCCCCUGGAAUAGU
rnacentral:rRNA from 1 species